UCUGGGUUGGCCGAGUGGUUAAGGCGUUGGACUUAAGUUCCAAUGGACAAGUGUCCGCGUUGGUUCGAACCCCACACCCAGUA
rfam:Ciona savignyi cont_34076, whole genome shotgun sequence.